AACGCUAGCUACAGGCUUAACACAUGCAAGUCGCGGGGCAGCAUGAAUUUAGUUUGCUAAAUUUGAUGGCGACCGGCGCACGGGUGAGUAACGCGUAUCCAACCUUCCCCUGUCCACGGGAUAGCCCGUCGAAAGGUGGAUUAAUACCGUAUGAGGUCACACGAUGGCAUCAGACUGUGACGAAAGGUUUUGCGGACAGGGAUGGGGAUGCGUCCGAUUAGGUAGUCGGCGGGGUAACGGCCCACCGAGCCGACGAUCGGUAGGGGUUCUGAGAGGAAGGUCCCCCACAUUGGAACUGAGACACGGUCCAAACUCCUACGGGAGGCAGCAGUGAGGAAUAUUGGUCAAUGGACGUAAGUCUGAACCAGCCAAGUAGCGUGCAGGAUGACGGCCCUAUGGGUUGUAAACUGCUUUUAUGCGGGGAUAAAGUGAGGGACGCGUCCCUUUUUGCAGGUACCGCAUGAAUAAGGACCGGCUAAUUCCGUGCCAGCAGCCGCGGUAAUACGGAAGGUCCGGGCGUUAUCCGGAUUUAUUGGGUUUAAAGGGAGCGUAGGCCGGCUUUUAAGCGUGUUGUGAAAUGCCGCGGCUCAACCGUGGCACUGCAGCGCGAACUGGAGGCUUGAGUGCACGCAACGCAGGCGGAAUUCGUGGUGUAGCGGUGAAAUGCUUAGAUAUCACGAAGAACUCCGAUUG
rnacentral:rRNA from 1 species